GACGGAGGGAGCAAGCGUUGUCCGGAUUUACUGGGCGUGAAGAGCGCGUAGGCGGUUCGUUAAGUCAACUGUGAAAUCGCUGGGCUCAACUCAGCAACUGCAGUUGAUACUGGCGGGCUCGAGUUCGGGAGAGGGAAGUGGAAUUGCUGGUGUAGCGGUGGAAUGCGUAGAGAUCAGCAAGAACACCGGUGGCGAAGGCGGCUUCCUAGACCGAUACUGACGCUGAGGCGCGAAAGCCAGGGGAG
rnacentral:rRNA from 1 species